UUUGACUGACAUGUAAUCGACUUAGUCAAUUGACCAGUGCUUGAUCGGAUGUUGUGAAUUGUUUGAAUAUCUGUGUUUAACCUUGAAUUGCAGGUUGGAACUGAGGCCAAGGUAAGUUUUCUGACUUGUGUUGUGCUUAGGCAACUGUAUGGCGUAUUAGUUUACUAAUCGAGUCUUAGGGGGUAGGACUCGCUGAGACGUGGUCUCAUUGGUUAUUGAAUAACCAUUUCAAGACCCUGAGGAAAAGCUGAGGAGGAAGAACCUGAAGGGGAGAAAGUAUUUUGAAGUAGAAGAUGAUCCAGAGAGGGAUCUUGAGUACAACCCAAAUGUGGAUUGAGAUCCCAUCCCUUUUGUG
rnacentral:lncRNA from 1 species